GAUGAACGCUAGCGAUAGGCUUAACACAUGCAAGUCGAGGGGCAGCAUAUUCGAAGCUUGCUUUGAAUGAUGGCGACCGGCGCACGGGUGAGUAACACGUAUCCAACCUUCCGGUUACUCGGGGAUAGGCUUUCGAAAGAAAGAUUAAUACCCGAUGUUGCGUAUCUUUCUCCUGAAAGAUACGCCAAAGGAUUCCGGUAACCGAUGGGGAUGCGUUCCAUUAGGCAGUUGGCGGGGUAACGGCCCACCAAACCCUCGAUCAGUAGGGGUUCUGAGAGGAAGGUCCCCCACAUAGGAACUGAGACACGGUCCUA
rnacentral:rRNA from 1 species